rnacentral:rRNA from 1 species
AGUGGGGAAUAUUGCACAAUGGGCGCAAGCCUGAUGCAGCCAUGCCGCGUGUGUGAAGAAGGCCUUCGGGUUGUAAAGCACUUUCAGUCGUGAGGAAGGCGGCGUCGUUAAUAGCGGCGUUGUUUGACGUUAGCGACAGAAGAAGCACCGGCUAACUCCGUGCCAGCAGCCGCGGUAAUACGGAGGGUGCGAGCGUUAAUCGGAAUUACUGGGCGUAAAGCGCAUGCAGGUGGUGUGUUAAGUCAGAUGUGAAAGCCCGGGGCUCAACCUCGGAAUAGCAUUUGAAACUGGCAGACUAGAGUACUGUAGAGGGGGGUAGAAUUUCAGGUGUAGCGGUGAAAUGCGUAGAGAUCUGAAGGAAUACCGGUGGCGAAGGCGGCCCCCUGGACAGAUACUGACACUCAGAUGCGAAAGCGUGGGGAGCAAA